UGUACUACUGGGUCGUGGGUCUGCCCAGCUGGCGGGUGUGGGUGGCGGCUCCGCUCCGCCCCCUCUCCAAUUGGGGUCACGCGGUCACCACGCUGGCGAGCCGCUGGGCCUGCUCCGGGGGCUGGUGGCGGCCCGGCUCCUCCCCUCUGGCUCAAGGACAAAUUGAGGAGACUCGGGUGACUGAGCCUCACCCCCCUUACCAGGAGACCAACUGCUUAUGUCACCGCUGGUAUUGAUGAAGAUCUCUCCUCCACUGCUUUCUGCUGACAUCAGAUCUCUGCCAUGUUGGUAUCCUAUGCGAAUGGCAGCAUUUCGUUCCCCUUGCCGGGCAACCAGAGCAACGGGGAGAACAGCAGCCGAUUUGGACUCCAGAAAGAUUAACUAAAGCGAUUUCUACAGACCAAAAAGAAGAUGAUUUGGCUCAAAUCCAUAACAACUGAUAUCCAAAACUCCAGUUUGGCUAUUCUUCCAUCUGCAACAGAACCAGGAUGCUUUUUUCAAUAUCUAUUUUAUUAUUGCCCUUUGCCAUAUCAUGAAGUUCUAUUUUGUUUUUUGAGCUCAUACAGACCUAGGUUAAUGUUUUGCUGAUCAGUUCUAUUUUUUGACUAUAGAGUUUUUAAACAUUGCAAUGGAGAAAUGGAGAUUUCACCUGUAAAAAGUUAUAAGGCCUUUACUAUAAUGUUAUGUGUUGUAUGUAUUAUGUGUGCACACUUGUGUUUUGUGUUAUAUGUUUGAAUGUAUGUAUGUCCAUAUAUCAUAUAUGAUGAGCGCUCAUGAUAAAAUGGAUCCAAAUAUUUUUUUUCACGUGAUUUAUAUGGUUUAAUUUAAAUUGGGUAAACAACUGUUGAGGAUUGUUUUAAUAUGUAAACAAAAAAGAAGGUUAACAGAUCUGUUUGUUUACUUUCACCUUUCCUUUUCAUUAUAUUUAAUAAUUCUCUUAAAGAUAAUGUAAAUUGUUAAGAAAAUUGUUUUCUUUUAGUGCCUUCUGUAAUGUUACAUCAUUUUUUCUUUCUCGAGUAUUGCCAGAAUUCCUAUCUUCAUCCCAGUGCCAGUGAAGACAAUGUAAAAUUGUUUUCUUUUAGUGCCUUUUGUAAUGUUACAUAAUUUUUUUCUUUAGCCAUUAUUGCCAGAAUUCCUAUCUUCAUCCCAGUGCCAGUGAAGACAAUGUAAAUUGUUAAGAAAAUUGUUUUCUUUUAGUGCCUUCUGUAAUGUUACAUAAUUUUUUCUUUAGCCAUUAUUGCCAGAAUUCCUAUCUUCAUCCCAGUGCCGGUGAAGCAAUGUAAAUUGUUAAGAAAAUUGUUUUCUUUUAGUGCCUUCUGUAAUAUUACAUAAUUUUUUCUUUAGCCAUUAUUGCCAGAAUUCCUAUCUUCAUCCCAGUGCUAGUGAAGUCAAAGAUAAAACCAAUCUACAGCUUCUACAAUAGCCAUCACUGAACUGCUUGCAGAACUUGCCUGGACACAUUGUGAGCUCACCUGUAUGCAUUGUGAACUAUCUGUUGGUGCAGCGACUUGUGGUAGUGUUGGGGUAUUUUUGCUGAUGAUGUCAUUGGUGGUACAAUUUUUCCAAAAGGAGCCGUCAAUUGGCUUGGUGUAUCUUCCUCCCUUGUGCUUGUCAUGAUCGUCCAGCUAAAAUUUGGGGGCCAACAGAGGUGAGGCAAAGAACCUCACCCCCCCGCUGGUACAAAGACCUCUCCACAGGUGUGGCUGUAUACUGGACCUGUAGUCAGUGACGGGUAAGAUCCAAUUGCAAUGGUACCAACCUAAGGACCAUAUGUACUAUUGGACAACCUAAGGCAGGCACGGUCCCUAAGCCACAUGCUAGUUGUUUAAACAGAGAGGGAGAGAUGUUGAGAGCCACAGCCGAAGGGGCCCCAGCAAACUUCCAGCUGCCAGCAAACUUCCAGCUGCCAGCAAACUUCCAGCUGCCUGCUGAUGAUUGGCUCACAGCGGCCCCAGCAACAUCUAGCUGAUUGGCUCCUCUGCGGUGAUGCUCAUUGGGCUGUUUCCCUGCCCUUUCAGACCACGGAGCUGCUCAUUGGGGGACUUUUUUGGCUCCGCCCACGUGACCAAGCCAAUCCGCCUCAAGAGCAGGAGGAUUGUGGGAGGUGGAGAGAAGCUUGUGUGGGAGAGAGAGGCUUGUGGAAAGCCGGUGGUGGCAGUUGAGGCUCUGAGGGUUUUUCCUGAGAGGCUGUUUUGUAAGGCGUGUGUGGUUCUAAAAAUAAAGUUAGUUUCUUUUGACAA